CAAUAGCGUAUAUUAAAGUUGUUGCGGUUAAAAAGCUCGUAGUUGGAUUUCUGCCGAGGACGACCGGUCCGCCCUCUGGGUGAGUAUCUGGCUCGGCCUGGGCAUCUUCUUGGAGAACGUAGCUGCACUUGACUGUGUGGUGCGGUAUCCAGGACUUUUACUUUGAGGAAAUUAGAGUGUUUCAAGCAGGCUUACGCCUUGAAUACAUUAGCAUGGAAUAAUAAGAUAGGACCUCGGUUCUAUUUUGUUGGUUUCUAGAGCUGAGGUAAUGAUUAAUAGGGAUAGUUGGGGGCAUUCGUAUUUAACUGUCAGAGGUGAAAUUCUUGGAUUUGUUAAAGGCGGACUACUGCGAAAGCAUUUGCCAAGGAUGUUUUCAUUGA
rnacentral:rRNA from 1 species